rnacentral:rRNA from 1 species
AUUGAACGCUGGCGGCAUGCCUUACACAUGCAGGUCGAACGGUAACGGGCCUUCGGGUGCCGACGAGUGGCGAACGGGUGAGUAAUGCAUCGGAACGUACCUUUCAGUGGGGGAUAACGUAGCGAAAGUUACGCUAAUAUCGCAUAUUCUGUGAGCAGGAAAGCAGGGGAUCGCAAGACCUUGCGCUGAUUGAGCGGCCGAUGUCAGAUUAGCUAGUUGGUGAGGUAAAGGCUCACCAAGGCGACGAUCUGUAGCGGGUCUGAGAGGAUGAUCCGCCACACUGGGACUGAGACACGGCCCAGACUCCUACGGGAGGCAGCAGUGGGGAAUUUUGGACAAUGGGGGCAACCCUGAUCCAGCCAUGCCGCGUGAGUGAAGAAGGCCUUCGGGUUGUAAAGCUCUUUCGGCCGGGAAGAAAUCGCACAGGCUAAUACCUUGUGUGGAUGACGGUACCGGAAUAAGAAGCACCGGCUAACUACGUGCCAGCAGCCGCGGUAAAAC